GAUUGAGAUGAUGAUGGAAAUUGUUUUCCCUAUUGGUUUGACUGCCGAUAUGAUGGCGACAAUGUAUUAGCUCUAUCUGAUGAAUUUCUUUUGAUUAAUUUGUUGAUUGUUUUGUUUGAAUUGAAAUCUGAAGAUUUUAUUCAUCGGUUUUGCGAAUGAUGUGAUGAUUAAUAGAUUCCCUAUUGGUUUGAUUUGCCAGAAUGAUGGCCAAAUUAGUAUUAGCUCUGUCUGAUCAUUC
rnacentral:lncRNA from 1 species